ensembl:snoRNA
ACCUUCCGGUUCCCUUUCCCAUCGGAUCUGAACACUGGUCUUGGUAGACAGGGGCAUACAUUUGGGGAAAGGAGGAAAAGGAACACCAAAGCUGGCCUCACAGUGCUUCUAGUCUGGUUUGUAGCGUAUGGCCUAGUUUCAAACAAGG